GAGCCUGGAUUAGAACGCAGGUCCCUGUGACUCCCAAGCCCGGGCUCUAUCCGCUAAGCCACGCCGCGCCUCAUCGUAGCCCACGGAACAUUUCGAGAAACGUGUCUUCUCUUUUUAAAAAACAUUAAUGAGCUUUCUGGUUCCAAGCCAGGUCUCCUGAAGAGGCCGUUCCAGACUAUUUCCCUUUAAGGACGUCCCACGGGGCACUGGUGUCUACACUUCGCAGCUAAAAUUGGACAAGGAAUGGUUAUUCAGCAGAGAAAGAGUCGUCACGAGGUGUAGGGGAAGCAAACGGACCCUCGAGUUUCUCCCUGGACAGAGCUAAGGCCGGACCGGGCGUGUCUGAACCUGGGUUUCUCGGUUGGUCAUCGGGCAAGUGGCAGUGGCGAGGACCUGGAGACCGCGCCAUGCUGCUUCUCUAGACGCGGCGAGGCUUUUGGCUAACCUCCAUUACCCAAACAGCUGCCUUCAGGAGAGCUGAAAUUGGGAAACUGGAAGUGAAGAAGGCAGAGGAAAAGUUUUAAAGACACGGUCAAACAAAGCCUCAGACCCAGCUGCAUCUCAGCUGAAACCUGGGAGUCGGGGGCCGAGGAUGGAUCGGCGAGGCUCACGACUAUCGAGGAUGGAGUGGCUCUCUUUGAGCAAAAUCUCUGUCUGAAAAGAAAGACAAGGAGGCCAAAGAGAAAACAGCACCAGGCACUGCAAACAUCAAGCACAAAAACGCGAUGUGGCCGGGGCUGUGGAUUCCUCAUUGGCCUUUUCAGUCCCACGUACGCUCGUCAGUGAACUUCAACAGCAGUCAUGUCAUCGUUUUUGUUUUUCUUAAUGAGGAGGACCUGAGGAACGGAAGCGAAGUGACUCGCCC